rnacentral:rRNA from 1 species
GGCAGGUUGAAGGUUGGGUAACACUAACUGGAGGACCGAACCGACUAAUGUUGAAAAAUUAGCGGAUGACCUGUGGCUGGGGGUGAAAGGCCAAUCAAACCGGGAGAUAGCUGGUUCUCCCCGAAAGCUAUUUAGGUAGCGCCUCGUGAAUUCAUCUCCGGGGGUAGAGCACUGUUUCGGCUAGGGGGCCAUCCCGGCUUACCAACCCGAUGCAAACUGCGAAUACCGGAGAAUGUUAUCACGGGAGACACACGGCGGGUGCUAACGUCCGUCGUGAAGAGGGAAACAACCCAGACCGCCAGCUAAGGUCCCAAAGUCAUGGUUAAGUGGGAAACGAUGUGGGAAGGCCCAGACAGCCAGGAUGUUGGCUUAGAAGCAGCCAUCAUUUAAAGAAAGCGUAAUAGCUCACUGGUCGAGUCGGCCUGCGCGGAAGAUGUAACGGGGCUAAACCAUGCACCGAAGCUGCGGCAGCGACACUGUGUGUUGUUGGGUAGGGGAGCGUUCUGUAAGCCUGUGAAGGUGUGUCGUGAGGCAUGCUGGAGGUAUCAGAAGUGCGAAUGCUGACAUAAGUAACGAUAAAGCGGGUGAAAAGCCCGCUCGCCGGAAGACCAAGGGUUCCUGUCCAACGUUAAUCGGGGCAGGGUGAGUCGACCCCUAAGGCGAGGCCGAAAGGCGUAGUCGAUGGGAAACGGGUUAAUAUUCCCGUACUUGGUGUUACUGCGAAGGGGGGACGGAGAAGGCUAUGUUGGCCGGGCGACGGUUGUCCCGGUUUAAGCGUGUAGGUGUGUGUUCCAGGUAAAUCCGGUUCACUUUAACACUGAGGCGUGACGACGAGGCACUACGGUGCUGAAGCAACAAAUGCCCUGCUUCCAGGAAAAGCCUCUAAGCAUCAGGUAACAUCAAAUCGUACCCCAAACCGACACAGGUGGUCAGGUAGAGAAUACCAAGGCGCUUGAGAGAACUCGGGUGAAGGAACUAGGCAAAAUGGUGCCGUAACUUCGGGAGAAGGCACGCUGACACGUAGGUGAAGUGAUUUACUCAUGGAGCUGAAGUCAGUCGAAGAUACCAGCUGGCUGCAACUGUUUAUUAAAAACACAGCACUGUGCAAACACGAAAGUGGACGUAUACGGUGUGACGCCUGCCCGGUGCCGGAAGGUUAAUUGAUGGGGUCAGCGCAAGCGAAGCUCCUGAUCGAAGCCCCGGUAAACGGCGGCCGUAACUAUAACGGUCCUAAGGUAGCGAAAUUCCUUGUCGGGUAAGUUCCGACCUGCACGAAUGGCGUAAUGAUGGCCAGGCUGUCUCCACCCGAGACUCAGUGAAAUUGAACUCGCUGUGAAGAUGCAGUGUACCCGCGGCAAGACGGAAAGACCCCGUGAACCUUUACUAUAGCUUGACACUGAACAUUGAGCCUUGAUGUGUAGGAUAGGUGGGAGGCUUUGAAGUGUGGACGCCAGUCUGCAUGGAGCCGACCUUGAAAUACCACCCUUUAAUGUUUGAUGUUCUAACGUGGACCCGUUACCCGGGUUGCGGACAGUGUCUGGUGGGUAGUUUGACUGGGGCGGUCUCCUCCUAAAGAGUAACGGAGGAGCACGAAGGUUGGCUAAUCCUGGUCGGACAUCAGGAGGUUAGUGCAAUGGCAUAAGCCAGCUUGACUGCGAGCGUGACGGCGCGAGCAGGUGCGAAAGCAGGUCAUAGUGAUCCGGUGGUUCUGAAUGGAAGGGCCAUCGCUCAACGGAUAAAAGGUACUCCGGGGAUAACAGGCUGAUACCGCCCAAGAGUUCAUAUCGACGGCGGUGUUUGGCACCUCGAUGUCGGCUCAUCACAUCCUGGGGCUGAAGUAGGUCCCAAGGGUAUGGCUGUUCGCCAUUUAAAGUGGUACGCGAGCUGGGUUUAGAACGUCGUGAGACAGUUCGGUCCCUAUCUGCCGUGGGCGCUGGAGAACUGAGGGGGGCUGCUCCUAGUACGAGAGGACCGGAGUGGACGCAUCACUGGUGUUCGGGUUGUCAUGCCAAUGGCACUGCCCGGUAGCUAAAUGCGGAAGAGAUAAGUGCUGAAAGCAUCUAAGCACGAAACUUGCCCCGAG